UGCAGUCGAACGGCAGCAUGAUCUAGCUUGCUAGAUUGAUGGCGAGUGGCGAACGGGUGAGUAAUACAUCGGAACGUGCCCUGUAGUGGGGGAUAACUAGUCGAAAGAUUAGCUAAUACCGCAUACGACCUGAGGGUGAAAGUGGGGGACCGCAAGGCCUCAUGCUAUAGGAGCGGCCGAUGUCUGAUUAGCUAGUUGGUGAGGUAAAGGCUCACCAAGGCGACGAUCAGUAGCUGGUCUGAGAGGACGAUCAGCCACACUGGGACUGAGACACGGCCCAGACUCCUACGGGAGGCAGCAGUGGGGAAUUUUGGACAAUGGGGGCAACCCUGAUCCAGCAAUGCCGCGUGUGUGAAGAAGGCCUUCGGGUUGUAAAGCACUUUUGUCCGGAAAGAAAUCGCACUUACUAAUAUUAGGUGUGGAUGACGGUACCGGAAGAAUAAGGACCGGCUAACUACGUGCCAGCAGCCGCGGUAAUACGUAGGGUCCAAGCGUUAAUCGGAAUUACUGGGCGUAAAGCGUGCGCAGGCGGUUGUGCAAGACCGAUGUGAAAUCCCCGGGCUUAACCUGGGAAUUGCAUUGGUGACUGCACGGCUAGAGUGUGUCAGAGGGGGGUAGAAUUCCACGUGUAGCAGUGAAAUGCGUAGAGAUGUGGAGGAAUACCGAUGGCGAAGGCAGCCCCCUGGGAUAACACUGACGCUCAUGCACGAAAGCGUGGGGAGCAAACAGGAUUAGAUACCCUGGUAGUCCACGCCCUAAACGAUGUCAACUAGUUGUUGGGGAUUCAUUUCCUUAGUAACGUAGCUAACGCGUGAAGUUGACCGCCUGGGGAGUACGGUCGCAAGAUUAAAACUCAAAGGAAUUGACGGGGACCCGCACAAGCGGUGGAUGAUGGUGGAUUAAUUCGAUGCAACGCGAAAAACCUUACCUACCCUUGACAUGCCACUAACGAAGCAGAGAUGCAUUAGGUGCUCGAAAGAGAAAGUGGACACAGGUGCUGCAUGGCUGUCGUCAGCUCGUGUCGUGAAAAUGUUUGGGUUAAGUCCCGCAACGAGCGCAACCUUUGUCUCUAGUUGCUACGAAAGGGCACUCUAGAGAGACUGCCGGUGACAACCGGAGGAAAAGGUGGGGGAUGACGUCAAGUCCUCAUGG
rnacentral:rRNA from 1 species